AAUAGCUACUUGCAUCAUACUAGAGAUGAUGCAAGAUCGACUAUGUCGAAUAAAAUUCUAGGUAGAAUUAUGAUAAUGACAUUGUCUGCCUAUGUGUCUUGACCAAAUUACGUGCCAGCAGUCGCGGUAAUACGUAGAAGACUAGUGUUAUUCAUGUUUAAUCGGUUUAAAGGGUACCUAGACGGUAAAUCAAGCCUAAAACUAAAAAAAAUAAAUGAAGGGACUAAUUUACUAGAGUUACUUAUGAGGGGGUAUUAAAGUACUGCUGGUGUAGAGAUGAAAUUCUGUCAUACCUCUUUUCAAUAGAAAAACAAUGGCACAGGUAUAGGCGAAGGCAUCCCCUUAUGUGAUAACUGACGUUGAGGGACGAAGGCUUUGUGUAGCGAACAGGAUUAGAUACCCCAGUAGUCAAAGCAGAAAAUGAUGAAUGUCAUAGAUUAGAUAUAUAAGUUUAUUCUAUAAAUGAAAGUGUAAGCAUUCCACCUCAAGAGUAAUUUGGCAACAUUGGAACUGAAAUCAUUAGACCGUUUCUGAAACCAGUAGUGAAGUAUGUUGUUUAAUUUGAUGAUCCGCAAAAAACCUUACCACAAUUUGAAUAUUUAUAUCUUUUAUUGUUUUUUCUUCUUAUUAUUCAAUUAUUGAAGAAUAAGAAAAAUAGGCAAUAAGA
rnacentral:rRNA from 1 species